GACAGAGGGGGCAAGCGUUGUCCGGAUUGACUGGGCGUACAGCGCGCGCAGGCGGCUGUGGACGUGCCCUGUGACAGGCGGAGGCUCAACCUCCGACGGCCAGGGUAGACGCCACGACUAGAGGCAGGGAGAGGGCAGUGGAAUACCCGGUGGAGCGGUGAAAUGCGUAGAGAUCGGGUGGAACACCAGGGGCGAAGGCGGCGCACUGGACCAUAACUGACGCUGAGGCGGCGAAAGCUAGGGGAGCAAACAGG
rnacentral:rRNA from 1 species